rnacentral:lncRNA from 1 species
GAAAGGGGCUCCCACAGUGCAGCGGUGGGCUGAAGGGCUCCUCAAGCGCGGCCAGAGUGGGCGCCAAGGCGGAGGAGGCCCGGAGAGCGAGCGUGGGCUGUGAGGUCGGCCAACACGCUGUCACCUCUCAGUAUCUUCUUAAAGAGGCUUACAAUAGUGGAAUAUGUUGAAUACUGAAGAGACUGAUUCACCUUGCUCUAAAGACCUGUGGUAGACAAACAUAUUUAAUGUAAGAUCUUUGCAUGGAUGUGUUCUUCAUUUAUCAUGGUACAUUCCUAGGAGUGGAAUUGCUGUGUCAUAUGAGAAGAAUAUAUCCAGGCUGAUCCAUCAAUCCCAGAAGGAGAACAAGAAACACAUGGAGCAGAGCUAAGUUACCCAGCCUAGCUCAGCCUAGAUCAGCAUCCUGUAACAGGCCCCCAGCCUUGUGGGCUAAAUA